GCCGGAGUGGUGAAAUUGGCAGACGCGGUGGACUCAAAAUCCACUGGGGGCAACUCCGUCCCGGUUCAAGUCCGGGCUUCGGCA
rnacentral:tRNA from 1 species